UCUUGAAGCUGAGUUGUCGCUAGACUUUUGUCGAUCAUUUGAUUGAUAGAUAUUUAGAGGAAAGUCCGGGCUCCAUGAAGAAAAAGUGCUGGUUAAUGGCCAGCGGGUAUAUAAUUGCUAAUUACUAGCAGCAAUAUAUCUAGGGAAAGUGUCACAGAAAAUAUACCGCCUAGGAAUUAAUUUUUAGGUAAGGUUGAAAUGGUGCGGUAAGAGCGCACCGCUGUUUUGGCAAUGAAACAGGCAUGACAAACCCCACUUGGAGCAAAUUCGAGCAAAGGGUUGCAUCUUCACUAAUGCCCUUGGGUUGAAUGCUAUAAUUUUGCAGCAAUGUAAAGUAGAGAUAAAUGACAACAUAAAACAGAACCCGGCUUAUUGGCUUCAAUUAAUA
rnacentral:RNase_P_RNA from 1 species